rnacentral:lncRNA from 1 species
UCAAAGUUGACUUGAAGUGAAUUUGAAGUUUGACCUUUCUUUAUUAUUUUAAUUCAAGUUUUAUUUUAAUAUUGAAAAAUAUCAAAAAUAUUUUAUUUGUUUCUUGACUUCUAAUCUUCAUCUUGCUUCUGUUUACAAUUGUUUGACCUUGAUCUUCUCUAUCUUUGGUCAAUGCUUGUUGAUUAUCUCCUUCCAUUUCCAUUAAAGUAGUUUAAUAUUCAUCUUCUUCUUC